GGGACUUGGAAAGCGCGUCAAGUGGGGAAAGCUAAAAUAGAGCCAAAUACCGCCUCUUACUACAAAAAAAAAAGGCUGCUGUACUACUGCUGCUACGGCUCUAUUUCAUAUAUACUGACUUAGUUAAGUUAGGAUGCUAGCAGUAAGAGCAGGAUCAAGAACAUGGCGAUUAUCACACAGCAGCAACAGUAGGUAGCUCCUUAUUUAUUUUUAGUGGCUAGAGGUGGUACUUAGCUCUAUUUUAGCUUUUCCCACAAAAAAAAAGCUUUCCUACCAGAUCCCCACCAUUGUAAAGUGUAGGAGCCGAAAAAAAAAGAAAUAGGGCCGCGCGACUUUUUUUUUUUUUUUUUAUUUAUUGUAAUGGUUUCUUCUUCGGUUCGUUACAGUGAUUCCUGAGUUAGGUUUAGUUCUGGGUCGGGAGAAUGACUUUCCAACCUCUCUCUCUCUCUCUCUCUCUCUGAUGUAUGCUUAUUACUGUUUGAUCUUUGUCUGCAUUAAUUUACUUUUCCUUGGUUUCUGUUAUUUUUUUCUCUUCUUUUAUUUAGUUUUCCUUUUUUUUCAAAAUGUAUUUAUAGUUAUUUUUGAUCCUGUUAUAUUUUCCCCCCUGGCCAUGGAAAGACCACCAGUGAAUUGUUUAGCUGGUUUGCAGCCUUGCUCAAACAACACCCGGACCUGCAAUCGCUUUACAAGGAGGGAAGGAACCCGCCCUAUAUCACGGGCACCCAGGUCCUCAUCUAUGCUGACGACAAACUCCUGCAAUGCCCCACACCCAGGAUUCUCCAGUUAGCUCUGUCACAACUAGCAGCAUUGUGUGUUCAAAUAGGACUUGUAAUUAAUGAAUGUAAAACCAAAUUUCAAGCCAAAGAAAAGGUCCCUUGACCACCCACUGUAAAUAAUGUUCCCAUCCCUAGAGUUCAUAUACACAAGUACCUGGGUGUUCAGCUGAAUUUCAUUUAGUCACUCCAAGCUGUACACUAUGUUCGAGACCUCUGUCUGUUGCAGCUAGUGCCACUUUUGCUGCUAGCAAACAGGGACCUGGGGGUUGGCAUUCCAGUCCUAAGGAUGUUCUUUAUAUCUUUCGUACAGUCCCUCAUUAACUACGCGGCCCCUGUUUUAAUACAGUUCAGUGCCAUCCAGCUCCAUUCCCUGGAGCUUGUUCAGAAUGAAGCCAUGAGAAUAAUUUCAGGAUGCCCCAGGACUGCAUGGAUUGAGGUCUUCAGAGCUGAACUGCACCUCCCGAGUAUUAUGUGUAGGAUACAGGAAAUUACUUGUUGGUCGGAUGCUAUACAUGGGCUCCAACUCUCUGAAGGGAUCACUGACCUCCAUGUAUCAUGAUCCUUGGACUCCUACAACUCCAUACCUUAGGAAGAUCUUGGGAGUUCUUACAAGUGUAGGUAAAGCCGAGGCCUGUAUUAACAUUGUUAUAUCACCGCUGCAACCCAUUUAGAACCCUCACCGUGUCAGUGUUGAUAUUCACUCACUGCAUCAGCCCAAGAGGGACUGGCUCCCUCAUGUGCUGCAAGACAUGUUCAUGACUAAAUUGUCCAAGUAUCCCCAUGUUCAGGCUAUUCAUGUUUAUUGUGAUGGAUCAGUCAAUGGCAGCAGGUCUGGAUGCGGGCUGUUCAUCUGCGACUACAUUUCUGCCAAUCACUGCACUGACACUGAGGUUUCCAGGUGGCUCCCUACACACAUGUUCUCCACUAGGGCAGAACUGUAUGCUGUUCUGGAGGUGCUCCAUAUUGUGGUGCCUCUCUGUAAAGAUGUGUACUUCUUUGUUGACAGCCAGGCUGCACAGUAUGUUUUCUAAUCUACCUCCCCCAUGGACUGUGAUCUAGUUAAUAAAUGUCUUGAUCUCAUCCACGCCCUAGAGGGUGCUGGUGCCACGGUCCUUUUCACCUGGAUACCCUCUCAUGUGGGUAUUCCGCUUAAUGAAAAGGCAGACUGCCUUGCUCAAUGUGCCCUUCAGGACGACACAGUGGACCCUGGCGCUGAGUACACUCUGGGCUAUGUUAAGAGUAACAUUAAGGACUUUGUACAUAGUAGCAUUAGUGAGCAGUUGGAGCUUUGUUGCCAUAGGGACAGUGGCAGUAGUCUUCACUAUGUACGUGUCUCCCAGAGCUGUGCUUACACCCAUGGGAGACACACUGCAUCACAUGACAGGGUGGCAAUGAGGCUCAGAUUAGGCUAUAAAUACUUUUGGGAAGUCAGUGCUUCUGGUGUAUGCUGUGUGCUAUGUGCUGCACCAAGGGGAUGCACUCUGCAUCAUUAUGUCACAGAAUGUCCUCUCAUUGCUAAAUUUAGGCUGCAAGGUCAACAUGACUUGUAUACCCUCAUUGACCAUUUCUUAGACUCAGCCACUCUCAGGGAGAUAAGGAAUAUCCUACGUUUGCUCCCAGACUAGGAUAUUUAUGCAAUAAGGUGUGCAAUAUCUGUAUUUAUUUAUUUACUUAUAUUCUUGUAAUGUAUACUAUCUAUUUUUAUGUUUUUGAUACUCUACCCUUUAGUCUUUGCCCAGGGGGUGGGUGGCAAGGUCCAUCCUCCUCCUUUGUUGUAUUUCAUUAUUAAUGCAACAAUAAAUGUAUCAGUCAAUCAA